rnacentral:tRNA from 1 species
UCUUCGGUGUGCGAACGCAUCCGUUGGUAGAGCACUCGGCUGUUAACCGAGGGGUUGUUGGUUCGAACCCAACUCGGGGAG